AGUGAACGCUGGCGGUAGGCCUAACACAUGCAAGUCGAACGGCAGCACAGUAAGAGCUUGCUCUUACGGGUGGCGAGUGGCGGACGGGUGAGGAAUACAUCUGAAUCUACUUUUUCGUGGGGGAUAACGUAGGGAAACUUACGCUAAUACCGCAUACGACCUACGGGUGAAAGCAGGGGAUCUUCGGACCUUGCGCGAUUGAAUGAGCCGAUGUCGGAUUAGCUAGUUGGCGGGGUAAAGGCCCACCAAGGCGACGAUCCGUAGCUGGUCUGAGAGGAUGAUCAGCCACACUGGAACUGAGACACGGUCCAGACCCCUACGGGAGGCAGCAGUGGGGAAUAUUGGACAAUGGGCGCAAGCCUGAUCCAGCCAUACCGCGUGGGUGAAGAAGGCCUUCGGGUUGUAAAGCCCUUUUGUUGGGAAAGAAAAGCAGCAGGUUAAUACCCCGCUGUUCUGACGGUACCCAAAGAAUAAGCACCGGCUAACUUCGUG
rnacentral:rRNA from 1 species